rnacentral:rRNA from 1 species
UACGUAGGGUCCGAGCGUUGUCCGGAAUUACUGGGCGUAAAGAGCUCGUAGGUGGUUUGUCGCGUUGUCCGUGAAAACUCACAGCUCAACUGUGGGCGUGCGGGCGAUACGGGCAGACUGGAGUACUGCAGGGGAGACUGGAAUUCCUGGUGUAGCGGUGGAAUGCGCAGAUAUCAGGAGGAACACCGAUGGCGAAGGCGGGUCUCUGGGCAGUAACUGACGCUGAGGAGCGAAAGCGUGGGGAGCGAACAGG